rnacentral:misc_RNA from 1 species
GAUGAAGAACGUAGCGAAAUGCGAUAAGUAAUGUGAAUUGCAGAAUUCAGUGAAUCAUCGAAUCUUUGAACGCACCUUGCACCCUUUGGACUGCUCCAAAGGGUAUGCUCGUUUGAGUGUCAUUGUACUCUCACACUCUCUGAUCCUUUGGAUUUGGGGAGCAGUGGACUUGGGUGCUUGCUGCUUCCUUGUGGCUCACCUGAAAUGCAUCAGUGCAUCUCUCGAUUGGACAUAGUACGGCGUGAUAAGUGUCUUCGCCGGCACCUCAUAUGGGGGUGGCCGAUCGGGAGCUCUGUGCUUUCAAACCGUCUUCGGACAACGCUGACAACUUGACCUCAAAUCGAGUAGGACUACCCGCUGAACUUAAGCAUAUCAAUAAGCGGAGGA